ensembl:lncRNA
CUGGUUUGAUCUCCUUGCAGUCCAGAGUUCUGUCCAGUCUUCUCCAGCUCACCACCCUACUUUAGGAACUCAUAACCUGAUGAUAGACGCAGUUACAGUAACAAAGAAGCUUGCAAAGGAAACAGUGGAAAGGGGCAAGAAACAGACCUGGUCUCUACAAAUCAACAGAAGCAGCAUCUCAGAAACCACACCUGAGACCCAAAGGACGCUAAAUGGCUUAGUGAAGGAAACCGGGGUAUGCCAUUUAGGACGCUGAUGGAUCUGUAACGUGUCUGUGGGAAGAGAGUGUCCAAGAUGGGAGGAGGAGAGCGAGAAGUUUGCCACAGCAGCUGUAAACAAAAAGAACAAAGAGUCUCCCUCAUUACUCAGUUCCAAAAAGCGUUAAGUUGCAACUCACUGCAGCUGCCCACAGUGUGCACUCAGGGGAAUUCAGGAUGAAGAAUAGGAUGAAGUAUUCUUGUUUUGAAUAUAUGGCCCCAAAGCAGUUAAAUGCGUAUUUAAGAAAGAAAUUCAGUGAUGCCAGAUUCUUGCAUAGGAAAGCACUAAAAUAAUUUUUGAGAUUCUCUGUUUGUCAUUAGCAGUAAUCUUUUUACCAAGAUAUAUGUUUAACUGCAAGUAUUUCUGAGGCAAAAAAUUCAUAUAGGCUCCUUCCCUGCAUCCCUACUUCUUUGCAGCAGUCCCCUCAGAGUUACUUACAUGCUGUUUCCUGGACUAUAGUUCCCAGUAAGGUCCAUGAAUAAAACUCAACUCGCAGCUUCUACAUUGUUUUCCUUCCGGUCAACAGUUUUGGUGACCACGGAGUGUCCCACAGCUGACUGCUCUCCUUUGCCUAAACUCGGCAAGGAUCCAAACACUUGCUACCAGCCAGGCCCCUUGUCCCUGUCCAUCUCCUGAAUGAGCCCAGAUGAUACGGUAAGUUUCUCCUAGUCUGGAGAAGUCUACGGUAAGUCUUCCUAGUAUGGAAAUUUCUGUCUUGGAUGAUUGAUCCUGAUUUUUAUUAUGUGGUGUAUAGACUCCACACUAGUAGAGUUUCCCUGAACUUAAGGUAAUUCAGGAAGGAAGUACCUUGAAUUCUAAGUUGAAAGAUGCUGGGAAGACUUGCUCAGUUGAAAGAUACUGGAGAGGUUUGGACUGUGUGAUUAGGUAGGAGACGGUCCUGUUCUUUUCCUUGAAUGGGUUGAUUUCAUGGAGUUGGUUGGAAUAAAAGUGAACAUACCAUAGGUGAGCUUUCAGUUCUGAAGAUAGGGGCAGAAUUCCUCCUGGCCGGUUUACAGCUCUCUCAGGCAACCAGAAGCUUGUGGGAGUGGUGGAGGCGAGUCUGCCCAUAGUACAGCAGCCCCUUGUGACACUCAGUUAUUAAAGAAACUUGCUGGUCUGGGACUUCCCUAGUGGUUCAGUGGUUAAGGACCUGCCUGCCAGUGCAGGGGACAUGGGUUCAAUCCCUGAUCCAGGAAGAUUCCACAUGCUAAGCCCGAGCACCGCAACCCUGGGGCCUGGAGUCCAUGCUCUGAGACAGGAGGAGCUGCUGCAGUGGGUAGCCCCCGCUUGC